rnacentral:rRNA from 1 species
UACAGAGGUCUCGAGCGUUGUUCGGAUUCAUUGGGCGUAAAGGUGCGUAGGUGGCUAGGUAAGUCGGAUGUGAAAUCCCGGGCUCAACCCCGGAACUGCAUUCGAUACUGCCUGGCUUGAGUACUGGAGAGGAGAUUGGAAUUUACGGUGUAGCAGUGAAAUGCGUAGAUAUCGUAAGGAAGACCAGUGCGAAGGCGGAUCUCUGGACAGUUACUGACACUGAGGCACGAAGGCCAGGGGAGCAAACGGG